rnacentral:lncRNA from 1 species
AUGCUGGCUACAGUCUACAGGUGUAGAGGAUACAGGAAGCAUCUCACUCCUGAAGAGCCCAGGAAAGCAUUUAUAGGCAUCCUGGGUAUCUGCUAUUACGGCUCCUUGGAUUCUGUUAGCUCGAUGUCCUGGGAGAUGACUGAGGUUCCCACAGACCAAACUGUGGCACAGCACCAGACAGGUAACAAUACUGAGGUAAGACAAUAAAGGCAUACUAUUGUCCUUGCCAAGUAAAACAAACAAACAGAUAAACAAACAAACACUUGCUUUUGGUGUUUUCGUGUGGCGACAGAAAGAACAUGCCUUUGGCAAAUCCAUGGAUGCAUACCAAGCGCCAGGGUCUUUGGAUAUUUGCGUUUGUGCCGUGAAGCCAGCUAGAACAGCAGAUGUAACUGACUCAGUUUAUGAUAAUCCAUUGUCAUUCUCCAAGGCUGAUCUGGUUUUCCUCACUGGCUAAACUGGAGAGUUAAGUGGGAAUGUGACAGCAGUCAUCACCUCCGGAUCGUUCAGGUCUUUUAACGCUUGGAAUUCUACUAGGGAUGUGAUAUCAGCGUGAUAUGCUGUUUUACAUGAAGAGAGCUCCAUGCGUUUACUUCGGGCCAUUCCUAUUAUAAUGACCCGUAUUCCAUGGGGUAGAGAGCCAACGUGGGGAUUUGCUGUUGGUUCUGUGUAUCGCUUCUACUUACACUUUCACGAACUGGGGAAAUAAACACAGAUUUGGGGGCUCUUUAAGCCCA